CCUGCCUUAGCUGCCGUUUGAAGUAAUUGCGAUGAUGGAACGGAACGGAACAGAACAGAACAGACUUUAUUAUUACAUAUACCCAAUGAAAAUAGUGAAAAUUUAAUAUGUUGCUAAUUACUGUACUGACUUAGAUACAAAAGUAUCUAGACACAGCUCAAGAGUUUAGACAAUAUAAAAAUAAAAUAUCAGUUUUACAUAGCUAAAAGCUCAAUACAGCAGAUGACACUGGCACCUAGCUGCCAAUGAGCAUGGGGCCCUGGCCCCACUCCAGGCUGGCAACAUGCAAUGCCAAGAUACCACUUCAGGAAGGUACAUCGGGAGGCACCUACAGGAGGUCGCUACGCAGGUUGGGCGGUCAUCAUGCUGCGCUGGAAGGCCGCCACGCCAACACUAAUGUCAGGAGGCCACAGCGGGACGCCGGGAGAUCACUACACCACAUUGAGAGGCUACUACUCCAGACCAGAAGGACACCAUACCCCACCAGGAAGCCGCUGGGAAUCGUUGCUGGAGGACGGAAAUCAUCUCGUCGCUCACCAGAGGCCCGGAAUCCUCGCUUGCCGGAAGCCGGAAGUCGUCGCCGGAGACUGAGAAUCAUCUCCGGAGGUCAGGAAUUGAAGAGAAAAAAGGAGAAAGAAAGAAGCACUAGGAGGAAGAAAAAGAAGAAUGGGUGGAGCAGACAAGUUCCGGCUGGAGCAUUCCAUUUUGCUGUAAUCUUGCAACACUUGUCAGCUUGCACCAUCUUAUCAGUGAGGACCUGGAGCACCCAAGACCAAUUUUUCACAUGGCAAGCAAGUAUGCCUGACCAGGAGCUUGUCCCAUUGUUCCCACCUACCAAAGGCUUAUUGGAAGGAUUUGCAGGUUGACAAUUAACAUUUUUGGCCAUGUUCUGACUGCAUGAAGUUUCUGGCUCAUAGUGGCCACCUUUCCUCUGUAAAACCCAAUAGAGGAGCAUCAGCACCUAAGAGAUUCUGGCUCUCAUCUUCCUGAUGUCUUUUUCCUGAUGGAGGAUGGCUGAGAGACUUUGCUGAGGAGCAUUCUGGGAAAAGCCAGCUCAGUCAUCACGACCAGUCAGUGGAGUGAGGAAGAACUUAGUGUCAAGGAAUGGACCUACCUUGACAAUUUUUCACAUUUCGGGCAGAUGCCAGUAUUGUAACUGUGCUGGAAGAACAAUCCAACCUCGAUGGUGCUGCCAAAGUGCCAUCAACUCAUCUCCUGCCCCAACAGAGAACCGAACAUUCUGGAUCACAACCAUCAAAGAUGCCUACUGCUCCAUCCCCCGCUUGCACUUCGGAAUAAACAGAUCACAGCGCUUUGUUCCUCCUCCUAGCUUACAAGCAGGAGGUCAAACAGGAGGUUCCUUUACAAAAGGAAGUACGAUGCUGGUCCAAGGCUGUGGAAGACUGUCUCCAGGACUGUUUGUAAUCUGUGGACUGGACCACGUUCAACUAUUCAGCAGAAAACCUAGAUGAGUACGUCACCACUGUCGUGGACUUCAUCAUCAAAUCCUUGAAGAACUGCGCACGAAAAAGUCAAUCUGAGUGUUCCCCAACCAUAAACCUAGGAUGAACCAGGAAAUCCUCUCCCUACUGAAGACCAGAUGUAUAGCAUUCAAUUUGGGUGACCCAGACCAA